rnacentral:rRNA from 1 species
UACGAAGGGGGCUAGCGUUGCUCGGAAUCACUGGGCGUAAAGGGCGCGUAGGCGGCGUUUUUUAAGUCGGGGUGAAAGACCUGUGGCUCAACCACAGAAUGGCCUUCGAUACUGGGGCGCUUGAGUAUGGUAGAGGUUGGUGGAACUGCGAGUGUAGAGGUGAAAUUCGUAGAUAUUCGCAAGAACACCGGUGGCGAAGGCGGCCAACUGGCCCAAGCAUUGACGCUGAGACCCGAAAGCAUGGGGAUCAAACAGG